rnacentral:rRNA from 1 species
UGCGUUAACGAACGAGACCUUAACCUGCUAAAUAGUUAGGCCAACGUUUGUUGGUCGUCAACUUCUUAGAGGGACUAUUGACUAUUAGUCAAUGGAAGUUUGAGGCAAUAACGGGUCUGUGAUGCCCUUAGAUGUUCUGGGCCGCACGCGCGCUACACUGAUCAAGUCAACGAGUUUACAACCUUGGCCGGAAGGUCCGGGUAAUCUUGUUAAACUCUGUCGUGCUGGGGAUAGGGCAUUGCAAUUAUUGCCCUUCAACGAGGAAUGCCUAGUAAGCGCGUGUCAUCAGCACGCGCUGAUUACGUCCCUGCCCUUUGUACACACCGCCCGUCGCUAAUACCGAUUGAAUGGAUGG